CUUGGUCAUUUAGAGGAAGUAAAAGUCGUAACAAGGUUUCCGUAGGUGAACCUGCGGAAGGAUCAUUAAUAAGUCGUCCCACACCCUUCACGGGUAGGAUUGACUUCACGCGUUAACAGUUCGGGUAGCCUUUCGGGGAGGCCGGCUGGAUAUAAUUACGGUAGCUCCUGCUGAAAUAAGCCUCUCAUAGACUUUCCUUAAGUGGUCUGUCCUCUGUUUGUCUGGGACGUAAUAAUUCGCGGUGGCGGAUAGUAAUAUCUGCCUCUAGGAGGGAUACUUAAACCCGUGUUUACCUUCUAUGUUGCUUUGGCGGGCCGCCUUACGGCGUCGGCUCCGGCUGACCGUGCCCGCCAGAGGAUCCAAACUCUUUUGUUUUAGUGACGUCUGAGUACUAUAUAAUAGUUAAAACUUUCAACAACGGAUCUCUUGGUUCUGGCAUCGAUGAAGAACGCAGCGAAAUGCGAUAAGUAAUGUGAAUUGCAGAAUUCAGUGAAUCAUCGAAUCUUUGAACGCACAUUGCGCCCCUUGGUAUUCCGAGGGGCAUGCCUGUUCGAGCGUCAUUAUGACCAAUCAAGCCUAGCUUGGUGUUGGGGUUCGCGGUUCCGCGGCCCUUAAAAUCAGUGGCGGUGCCGCCCGGCUCUAAGCGUAGUAACUUUCUCGCUAUGGUGUCCGGGUGGUCUCCUCCAGAACUCCCCCAUUUUACGGUUGACCUCGGAUCAGGUAGGGAUACCCGCUGAACUUAAGCAUAUCAAUAAGCGGAGGA
rnacentral:rRNA from 1 species